AUGAUAAAGAGAGGAGAUGAGAUGAGAAGGAAAUCCGACGUGGCGGCCCUGGACAAGAUGGCGGCCAUGCUGAGGCACGCUCGGGAGGAUGCGGAAGACAUCUUGGAUGAUCACCAGGACAUCGAGUUGUACCGCUUCAGAUUUUGGCGUCGUCUCUGCCUCAUAGUGCAGAACGACAUUGACCGCUUCAAUAGGAGCUGUCUGGUGAUUGCACGCAUCGUCCGGAGGGGAUCGGCUCGAUUCAACCGGAGUAUCGCACCCAUCAUCCGGAGAAAUGCAUUCAUCAUCAGGAGAAAAUCAGAGGAUGUACUUCACGUGGCUGCCAGUGCUGUGGCCACCUGCAUUACUCACUUCAACAAGAGCUUCAGGAGCGGAUCAGCUCGGCUACUGCGGCGGGCGCGGAACAUCUCCUUGUGGAGGCAAGAGGAUGUACUCCCUCGGACAACCAAUACUGUUGCGCCCUCCCAUGAGACCGUGCCAGUGAUUACCAGUUCUGUGGCCUCGGAUGGACCAGUUCCCCUUACUACCAGUGUUGCGGCCUCCCAUGGACCGGUUCUGGCGGCUACAAAUGAUGUCCCCUCAGACGACCCUGUCCCGCAUAACUCGGUGGGUGCUGCCUCACAAGAAUCAGUUCCAGAGCCUACCAAUGUUGCUGUUUCAGACGAAUUAAGAGUUCCGGUGAUUGCACCCUCGAAUUCAGAGUCGAGCUCCUUAGAUUUCACUGAGGGUGCGGUCUUAGAUGAACAAGCAGUUCCGGCGACUGCAUCCUCUGAUUCCAUUGGGUGGGGGCUCUCUUGGUGGUGCAACUUCUUCAACUUCUUCAAGAACUGUUGUAGGUCCAUAUUAUAUUUGACAGGUCAUGCAAUUAAGGCCGCUCACACUUAUCAGGGGUGCUCCUAUGACGUGGUUGGCAUCACAGAUUACCAGGAGAAUGCCACCGCAUUAGAUUCUGUCCUUACUAUUAUUUCAAGACGGAACUUGAAGAAAAAAAUAGAGAAGGUAGAAAGCAUGGUUAGCGAAGUGAAGAAGUCAUCACUCUUGGGAGCGGGAAGCAAGAACACACUGAGUGAUACGGCCAACAAGAACAGGAGCAAAAUUAGAACUGCUAGCAAACGGAAGGUAUUUGGUCGGGAGGCAUUGCGUGAGGAUAUCAUGGCUAAACUCCGUGAGACACCACCCAGCUCGAGCACUAGACCAUGCUACUCGGUGAUUGGCAUAUAUGGCAUCGCAGGGUCCGGGAAGACUACCUUUGCACGAUAUACUCGAGAUUACAUAGAGGAGGAAUGCAAGGAGGAGGAACUUUUUGACACCAUCAUGUGUAUUCAUAUGUCUGAGACUUUUAGUGUGGAUGACAUAUUUCAUGAUAUGCUGAGGGAUAUUACCAAAGAUCGGCACUCCAAUAUUUCAGAUCAUGAGGAGCUGGAAGAGAAGUUGAAGAAAUCAUUGAGUGGCAAACGUUUCUUCUUGAUAUUGGAUGAUAUCUGGGUGAAGACAAGGAACGAUCCACAGCUGGAGGAACUAAUCUCUCCGCUCAAUGUUGGGAUGAAAGGAAGCAAAAUUUUGGUGACGGCUCGAACAAAAGUUGCAGCUAGAACUCUAUGCACUGAUGAACCUAUUAGAAUGCCUGAUUUAGAUGAGGAUGGAUACUUGUUGAUGUUCAUGCAUUACGCAUUGGGUGGUACAAAUGUCGUUGAAGAGGAAUUUGUACCAGUCGCGGGGGUGAUUGCAAAAAAGCUACAUAGAUCACCUAUUGCGGCUGUAACAGUGGCAGGACAGCUUAGGGCACACCCAGAUAUCCUCUUUUGGAAAAACACUGCAAAUCUUGACUUGUUGAAUGACACCAUGGGUUCUCUUUUCUGGAGUUAUCAGCAGCUUAAUCCGGACAUCAAGCGAUGCUUAGAGUACUGCCAUAUUUUCCCCAGAAGAUCGAUGUUGACAAGGGCCGAGUUAAUUCAUCUUUGGAUUGCACAAGGGUUUUUAAAGACCAGCUGUGCAACAGAGGACAUGGAAGAUGUAGCUGAGGGCUAUGUUCAAGAGUUAGUGUCGUGCUCAUUUCUGCAGCUAGAAAAAGGCUCGAUUGAUGAUUUUCUAAAGACCGACCAAUUCAGAAUUCAUGAUCUGAUGCAUGAUUUAUUGGACAAAAUCACUGGAAGGGACUACUUCAUAAUCGAGAAUGCAGAGAGUGAUACAGGAGAAGGUUGGAAAGGAGUUGUUCCAAGAGAUGUCCGCCAUCUUGUUGUUCAGAAUUAUGAUGGAGAAUUGAUUAUUAAGAAGAUCCUUGGAUUGGAAUGUUUACGCACUCUCAUUAUUUAUCGUGUUCAAAGGAGUAGACCAGUUGAGGUAAAAUUCUUUGAGAAUAUAUGCAAGAGGCUACCGAAAUUGCGGGUAUUGGCCGUUGAACUCAGCCUGGAAUAUGAUCCACUCGAACAACCUAUUAAGUUCUCGAUCUCAGAGUCCAUUAGUCAUUUAAAGCACCUACGCUAUCUUGCUUUGACGACAAAUUUGAGAUGUACGGUAUAUUUACCAUGGGCGCUAACUAAACUUCACCAUAUCCAGCUGCUAGAUUUUCAUGGAGAACCUUGGGAAUUUGCCUUACCUGGCCUUAUCAACCUGCGGCACGUGUUCUGUUCGCGAUAUGUAAAAUUUCGUAACAUAGGCAGCCUGAUCUCACUCCGAACGAUACCAGGCUUCACAGUAAGGAAUGAAAAAGGGUGUGGGGUAAAUCAACUAAGGGACCUAAACAAGCUCAGCGGCAGCCUGCAUAUCUAUGGCCUUGAAAAUGUUAAAAGCAUGGAGGAAGCUCUUGAAGCAAAUCUAGCUGCCAAGGAACGGCUCACUAAACUGACAUUGUCAUGGGAUGGUGAUGAUGGUACAAGGUGCAGUCCAGAAGUUGAAGCAGAUGUACUUGAAGGCAUGUGCCCUCCCGCUGGGCUUGAAACACUAUUUAUCGAACGCUACAAUGGUACGAGGUACCCAUACUGGAAUGGUACCCCAAAGGACCUGCAAAACCUUCUUUUCUUGGAAUGCGGCCAACUCGGAUGUUUUCCUGGACUUGAGGCUUUCCGUCAUCUUCGUUUGCUCUGUCUUGUUCACUGCGACUGGUACACCUUACCAGGCAAUAUAGCGCACCUCACAUCACUAAAGGAACUGUAUAUCAGAUGUUGCCACUAUAUCCGGUCGCUUCCAACACUGCCACAGUCGCUUGAGGAGUUUGUACUUCUAUUCUGCAAUGAUGAGUUCCUGGAGUCUUGUCGAACUGUAGGACAUCCAAACUGGCAAAAGAUUGAGCACAUCCCCAAGAAAAGAUUUCAUAUGUCCUUUGAAGAAGAAGAAGAACGAGAAGCAGAAGAAGAAGAAGAAGAAGAAGAAGAAGAAGAAGAAAGCAUUGACUAG
rnacentral:rRNA from 1 species